rnacentral:rRNA from 1 species
UCCCAGACUCCUACGGGAGGCAGCAGUGAGGAAUAUUGGGCAAUGGAGGCAACUCUGACCCAGCCAUGCCGCGUGAGUGAAGAAGGUUUUCGGAUUGUAAAGCUCUUUCGGAUGUGACGAGGAUGACGGUAGCAUCUAAAGAAGCCCCGGCUAACUUCGUGCCAGCAGCCGCGGUAAUACGAAGGGGGCAAGCGUUAUCCGGAUUUACUGGGUGUAAAGGGAGCGUAGACGGCUGUGCAAGCCAGAUGUGAAAGCCCGGGGCUCAACCCCGGGACUGCAUUUGGAACUGUGUGGCUGGAGUGUCGGAGAGGCAGGCGGAAUUCCUAGUGUAGUGGUGAAAUGCGUAGAUAUUAGGAGGAACACCAGUGGCGAAGGCGGCCUGCUGGACGAUGACUGACGUUGAGGCUCGAAAGCGUGGGGAGCAAACAGGAUUAGAUACCCGAGUA